rnacentral:rRNA from 1 species
AGAGUUUGAUCCUGGCUCAGAUUGAACGCUGGCGGCAGGCCUAACACAUGCAAGUCGAGCGGAAACGAGUUAUCUGAACCUUCGGGGAACGAUAACGGCGUCGAGCGGCGGACGGGUGAGUAAUGCCUAGGAAAUUGCCCUGAUGUGGGGGAUAACCAUUGGAAACGAUGGCUAAUACCGCAUGAUGCCUACGGGCCAAAGAGGGGGACCUUCGGGCCUCUCGCGUCAGGAUAUGCCUAGGUGGGAUUAGCUAGUUGGUGAGGUAAGGGCUCACCAAGGCGACGAUCCCUAGCUGGUCUGAGAGGAUGAUCAGCCACACUGGAACUGAGACACGGUCCAGACUCCUACGGGAGGCAGCAGUGGGGAAUAUUGCACAAUGGGCGCAAGCCUGAUGCAGCCAUGCCGCGUGUAUGAAGAAGGCCUUCGGGUUGUAAAGUACUUUCAGUCGUGAGGAAGGUAGUGUAGUUAAUAGCUGCAUUAUUUGACGUUAGCGACAGAAGAAGCACCGGCUAACUCCGUGCCAGCAGCCGCGGUAAUACGGAGGGUGCGAGCGUUAAUCGGAAUUACUGGGCGUAAAGCGCAUGCAGGUGGUUUGUUAAGUCAGAUGUGAAAGCCCGGGGCUCAACCUCGGAAUAGCAUUUGAAACUGGCAGACUAGAGUACUGUAGAGGGGGGUAGAAUUUCAGGUGUAGCGGUGAAAUGCGUAGAGAUCUGAAGGAAUACCGGUGGCGAAGGCGGCCCCCUGGACAGAUACUGACACUCAGAUGCGAAAGCGUGGGGAGCAAACAGGAUUAGAUACCCUGGUAGUCCACGCCGUAAACGAUGUCUACUUGGAGGUUGUGGCCUUGAGCCGUGGCUUUCGGAGCUAACGCGUUAAGUAGACCGCCUGGGGAGUACGGUCGCAAGAUUAAAACUCAAAUGAAUUGACGGGGGCCCGCACAAGCGGUGGAGCAUGUGGUUUAAUUCGAUGCAACGCGAAGAACCUUACCUACUCUUGACAUCCAGAGAACUUUCCAGAGAUGGAUUGGUGCCUUCGGGAACUCUGAGACAGGUGCUGCAUGGCUGUCGUCAGCUCGUGUUGUGAAAUGUUGGGUUAAGUCCCGCAACGAGCGCAACCCUUAUCCUUGUUUGCCAGCGAGUAAUGUCGGGAACUCCAGGGAGACUGCCGGUGAUAAACCGGAGGAAGGUGGGGACGACGUCAAGUCAUCAUGGCCCUUACGAGUAGGGCUACACACGUGCUACAAUGGCGCAUACAGAGGGCGGCCAACUUGCGAAAGUGAGCGAAUCCCAAAAAGUGCGUCGUAGUCCGGAUUGGAGUCUGCAACUCGACUCCAUGAAGUCGGAAUCGCUAGUAAUCGUGGAUCAGAAUGCCACGGUGAAUACGUUCCCGGGCCUUGUACACACCGCCCGUCACACCAUGGGAGUGGGCUGCAAAAGAAGUAGGUAGUUUAACCUUCGGGGGGACGCUUACCACUUUGUGGUUCAUGACUGGGGUGAAGUCGUAACAAGGUAGCCGUA